GUUCCUAAACCAGGGCAGCAAGGUUUCAUGGGAAGGAGGACUGAAUGGGUCUGUAUAUUCCGUUGUAGGUAUGAAGUACUGGGCCUGAGACUUGUGGGGCAACAAAUGGGUUUUGCUGGUUCUGCAGAGAAGAUAAUCCUACUGGGGUUCCCUUCUGCCUUAUUGGUAGCAUCCCCAGAAAUUGUCAGCCAGAGACAGUGCUGUGAAGUGAAACCCCUCAACCUUCCCAGCUGAUACAUGUAUACUGGGAGUAGGAGAAAGAAGCUAGAGGAAGAGAGGGGAAAAACCCUAAAUGAGAGACUGACUAGCAACAUGGCACCUGAGCUUUAACUGUGAGUAAUGGAAACAGGCAGCUUCCUGAAUGGAAAUUUCAUACCAAGA
rnacentral:lncRNA from 1 species